rnacentral:rRNA from 1 species
AGGAAAAGAAACUAACAAGGAUUCCCCUAGUAACUGCGAGUGAAGCGGGAAGAGCUCAAAUUUUGAAUCUGGCGGUCUUUUUGACCGUCCGAGUUGUAAUCUAGAGAAGCGUUUUCUGUACUGGACCGUGCACAAGUCUCCUGGAAGGGAGCGUCAUAGAGGGUGAGAAUCCCGUCUUUGGCAUGGACUACCAGUGCUCUGUGAUGCGCUCUCGACGAGUCGAGUUGUUUGGGAAUGCAGCUCAAAAUGGGUGGUAAAUUCCAUCUAAAGCUAAAUACAGGCGAGAGACCGAUAGCGAACAAGUACCGUGAGGGAAAGAUGAAAAGAACUUUGGAAAGAGAGUUAAACAGUAUGUGAAAUUGCUGAAAGGGAAACACUUGAUGUCAGUCGCAUCAGCUUGGGAUCAACCUUGCUUAAUUGCUGGGUGCACUUCCUGGCUGAUGGGUCAGCAUCAGUUUCGCUCACUGUACAAUGGUCAAGGGAAUGUGGCACUCUCUCGAGAGUGUGUUAUAGCCUUUGGUCGUAUGCAGUGGAUGGGACUGAGGAACUCGGCACGGCUUCUUGUUUGUGUCUAGGAUGCUGGCAUAAUGGCCUUAAGUGACCCGUCUUGAAACACGGACCAAGGAGUCUAACUUGCCUGCGAGUGUUUGGGUGGUAAACCCAGGCGCGUAAUGAAAGUGAAAGUCGAGACCUCUGUCGUGGAGGGCACCGACGCCCGGACCCGAGUCUUUGACAAAGGAUCUGCGGUAGAGCAUGCAUGUUGGGACCCGAAAGAUGGUGAACUAUGCCUGAAUAGGGUGAAGCCAGAGGAAACUCUGGUGGAGGC